CAGCAGCCGCGGUAAUACAGAGGAUGCAAGCGUUAAUCGGAUUUACUGGGCGUAAAGGGCGCGUAGGUGGUUAUGUAAGUGAGAUGUGAAAUCCCCGGGCUUAACCUGGGAACUGCAUUUGUGACUGGCGAGCUAGAGUAUGGCAGAGGGGGGUAGAAUUCCACGUGUAGCAGUGAAAUGCGUAGAGAUGUGGAGGAAUACCGAUGGCGAAGGCAGCCCCCUGGGCCAAUACUGACGCUCAUGCACGAAAGCGUGGGGAGCAAACAGGAUUAGAUACCCGGGUAGUCCCUGUCUCUUAUAC
rnacentral:rRNA from 1 species